AGAGUCUAUCAUCUACGUAGAACUGAAGAUGACAGAAGACACCAAAGGAGGACGGGGGCUUCCAGGAAGAGCCAGUAAGAUGUGCUGAAGUAGGAAGAUGUGAAGAAAAUUGUUGAACACAUCUGACAAUAGAAGACCUAAGGCCUAAGAAGUCCAUUUCAAUGAAUCACAAAAGAAAUCAAAGAACAGAAUUUCUCUCUUUU
rnacentral:lncRNA from 1 species